rnacentral:rRNA from 1 species
GAUGAACGCUGGCGGCGUGCCUAAUACAUGCAAGUCGAGCGAACAGAUAAGGAGCUUGCUCCUUUGACGUUAGCGGCGGACGGGUGAGUAACACGUGGGUAACCUACCUAUAAGACUGGAAUAACUCCGGGAAACCGGGGCUAAUGCCGGAUAACAUUUAGAACCGCAUGGUUCUAAAGUGAAAGAUGGUUUUGCUAUCACUUAUAGAUGGACCCGCGCCGUAUUAGCUAGUUGGUAAGGUAACGGCUUACCAAGGCAACGAUGCGUAGCCGACCUGAGAGGGUGAUCGGCCACACUGGAACUGAGACACGGUCCAGACUCCUACGGGAGGCAGCAGUAGGGAAUCUUCCGCAAUGGGCGAAAGCCUGACGGAGCAACGCCGCGUGAGUGAUGAAGGUCUUCGGAUCGUAAAACUCUGUUAUUAGGGAAGAACAAAUGUGUAAGUAACUAUGCACGUCUUGACGGUACCUAAUCAGAAAGCCACGGCUAACUACGUG